rnacentral:lncRNA from 1 species
GGAAGACCUUAAUUCUGCACAAUGUCCAUCACAUUCUCGAGAUUCGAAGGAACCUAAUUAGUGAUUCUUUUUUAGUGCUGCGAGGCUAUAGACUUGUCUUUGAAUGUAAUAAAGUUGUGAUCAUGAGGAGCAUUGUUUUGUUAGGAAAGGAUUUCUAUUUGAUGGAUCGUUUAAACUUAAUGUAUCUUCUUCAUUUUCUAAUAAUAACUCUCAAAUUUUAAAUGUUGAAACUUCUGAUAUCUAGCAUAGUAGGCUUGGA